rnacentral:rRNA from 1 species
UACGGAGGGUGCAAGCGUUAUCCGGAUUCACUGGGUUUAAAGGGUGCGUAGGUGGACAGGUAAGUCAGUGGUGAAAUCUCCGGGCUUAACUCGGAAACUGCCAUUGAUACUAUCUGUCUUGAAUACCGUGGAGGUUAGCGGAAUAUGUCAUGUAGCGGUGAAAUGCUUAGAUAUGACAUAGAACACCAAUUGCGAAGGCAGCUGGCUACACGAAUAUUGACACUGAUGCACGAAAGCGUGGGGAUCAAACAGG